AAAGGGAGGGGCGACCAAAGCCUCUUAAAGGGAUGGGCGUCCAAAGCCUCUUAAAGGGAUGGGCGUCCAAAGCCUCUUGAAGUGACUCACUCACCGUCGGCCAAGCGGGGGUAGAGCUCCCUCAUGCAUUAAAUAUCGUUUUUAAACGUAGUAUCUACAGACAAGAGACUAAGCAAAAUUUUGGGGGCUCGUUAGUAUGUCGCUUCAAAGGUCAUUGUGGAAAAUAAAAGCUCACGGUGAAGGAGAUAACGUAUUGGCGAGGAUAGGGUAUGUGCAUACUCCCCAUACAUGGAGUCAAAGUCCUCAAGAUGUAAGGAGUGCUGCAUCAUAGAGAUGGGUGCUUCUGCCUUUAAAUACAAAAGUUAUGAGAAGCUACAAAAAGCUGGAAUAACUCAACGUCAGACAGCAUCUCUGGAGAAAAGGAAUAUGUGAUGUUUCGGCUUGAGACCCUUCUUCAGACUUUCUGUCCUAGGCCUCCUCCAUUGUCAGUCAUCGACUCUUUGGCUCACCAAGUCUGGUUCCAUUGAUUAUCCUUAAGAUGUUUCUACAACUUGAUUGGAGUCCACCAGUGGUAAAUUAAAUAGAUUGUACAUGAUUUGGAAAGGCACACUUCUGUCUAUAUAAGGUCCCGCAGUUGACAGUGCAUGUCAGAGCAAAAAUCAAGCCAUGAAGACGAAGGAAUUGUCUGCAACUUCUGCAGCAGUGCAGGUCCCGAAGAUCACAAUGGUCUCCCUCAUUCUUAAAUGGAAGAACUUUGAAACCACCAAGAUUCUUCAUAGAGCUGACCGCCCAGCCAAACUGAGCAAUCGGGGGAGAAUGGCCUUGGUCAGGGA